rnacentral:lncRNA from 10 species
GUGCUUCCUGGCACUGGGCUACAAUUCCUGAUGGCUGAUUCUGGGUGAAGAUGCUGUCUCUGGAAGGCCCCUGAUCAAGCUCUCCCGAGUCUCCCUCCUGAUAAACAUACAUCAAAAGGUGCAGCCCAGCAUUGGCUUUCUCUACAUGGCCCCCAGGUCCACCCUGCCCCGCCCAGCUGUUCCCCACCACCUGUGGCUUUCAGGAUGCUUCAGGAAAUGGAAGACACAGCAUGUGUGUGGGAGGAGUGGUUGAAGCCUCGCUGUGAUUCACCCGGACCUCCAAGGAAGUCACAGCUGCCCUCUGGGAUGGCCACAUUCCAUGGGGAGGGGCUUCAGGACACGCUACCUCAAAUACGGCACCUUGGUAUAUUGAAUACUUUAUACCUGGAAGUCAGAUUCCAGGCUCCUCUGUGGACGGCUUUGUCUUCGUUCCCUGGCACUUCCAACCCACCCUCUCUACCCAGGAACUAAGGCUGAGUGGUCUCCAGUGCCCUGAGAAAGCCCUGUGGAAGCACCAAGGAUGCUGGCACUGCCAGGAAGAGCGAGGGGACACUGACAAGAUGCAGGCAGGAAGCCCAGAAGAAGGACAGCCCCCAUCCUGAGAAUAAGGUAAUAACCGAGGGCUUCCUGGAGGCAGCGAUGUUUUAAGUUGCCUCCUGAAGGAAGAGUAGGAGCCAGCCUGGCAACGGGUGGGAGUUUUCUAGGCAAAGGGAACAGCAAAGGCCCUGCGGCAGGAAAGAGCAGUGUGCGCUCAGGGGAAGCUUGCUGCCUUCACAGCACCUGGAGAAGAAAGGAAGUGGGAUGAGAAGAGGCUGCGAAGAAAAAUGUGGGCCAGAUCAUGGAGGGUCUCCACAGCAAAGGAGCUCAGCUUCUCCUGAAGGCGGUGGUCCCCGGGGCCAGGAUUAGAUUAGAUUUACAAGCUCCUCUGGCUAUAGAUUGAGGAUGAAUCGAAAGGGGCAAGACUAGAGGCAGGGAGCCCGGGAGGAGGCCAGGAAUCCAACAUCCCGGCACGGGCGAUGCAGACGGGGACAGCGUGGGGCACUUGCCCUCGUCUUGGGAUGGGCCAGGAGAGAGGACAUGAAGUCCCCAUUUCACCUAAGAAUGCGGAAGUGGGAGAAGGCAGGGAGGUGGCGAUGAAGCCAGCGCUGGAAGCCCAAGGCUGCCGGGCUGUCCCGCUGUUCAUGGCUGAUGGAAAGCGAACCCAAGCGUCCGUGCCCUCAGCUGCCGCCCGCCUGCUUCCCCACAUCUGCGCUGCCUCCAGCUAAUGAAAGUGUUACUCCACGAAGCAGCAAGGUAAAGAAACUGAGGCUUGGAGAGGCAAAAUGAUUCGGCUGAGGCCCCACACUAGGUUCCUGACAAGCGUCUGGCUUCUGGACCAGAGUUCACAUCCCAUCCCAUCAGGCUGGAAGAGACUGCGGGUGAACUGAAUGCCUCUCAACGUCCCUUUCCACCCCUGGUGGCCAGGCUCAUUAGGAGAAAGGAUGUCAGAAUCUCAGUGGAGGUGUGAGGAUUUUUCUCCCAAAGUCAUAAAGCGGAAGGCAUCCUGCCUGUUUAACUGGCAGCCCGUCUUCUGGCCUCACCUCCCUUCAGGUACUGCUUUUUUAUCUCCUCCUAAAAUGCGGCAGCCCUUAUCGUCCCAAUCUCAAAUUUCACUCCAUUUUUUUUAUUACACAAAAGAGAAAAAAAUCUGUCAGUAAAACUGUCUCCUCAAAUUUAUUCGCCG